UUCGGCCAUAUCACAUCGAAACAUAGUUUCUCGCACGAUCAUCAAAGUUAAGCAACGUUGAGUCUGGUCAGUAUCUAUAUGGGUGACCGCUUGGGAAUAGCAGGUGCUGUAAG